rnacentral:lncRNA from 1 species
UCAUUUUACAACCCAAACAUAUCUACCACUUGGAACACCAAAAUGCUUAAUUUUACAUUUAUUUGAGGUAUGACCCUUUUUCAUACAAUAAAAGCAUGAUAUAAAGUUUGUGUUCCUAUAAGUUGUUCCUUUUUCUACCCAUGUUCUACGGGUUCUAUUAUUAUGCUUAUUUUUAAUUUUAGGAACAUACUUAUUUUUAACAACCUUAUUUUCAUUAUUUUUACUGCAUUCUCCUAAGGUUGUGUUGUUUAGUAGUUUCUUAAAAUUUUCGCAAGAUGCACAUUCAUCACUACUAGUAAAUUUAC